UGGGAAGGAUCCAAUGAGAAUGCGAGAGGGCACUGCCUCUGAAAUCCUGCUCUGAGCUCCCUUCUCUCAGGGCUCUAAGAUUUACCUGCGUCGGGAGCCUCAUGAUUACGAUUAAUCGUCUUCCACCAGCACAUUACCCUAGGAUUUCCCUGAACCCUCCCAGACCCAGCAACUGUGGGAAGCGUAGUAUAUAUAGAAGCCCAGCACGGCCACUCUCACCCUCCUCCCUGUUCCCCCCACAUGAGCCACUGUGAUCACUUUAGCAUGACCAGAUCCUCAGCAUUUGGGGGGAGGGGAGUGUCGAAGGGCUGAAGAUGCCGCUGAGGCCAAGUGCAGUCAGGGGCGCUGCGCCCAAGGCUCAGGGAAGGGGACCCCCGCUUGGUGGAUAGAAGCGCAGGGGCUGCAGCACUGGCGGCUGCAGCGGCGGCGGGAGCUCUCCGAGGUCCUGAUUUCACAGCGAACCCUGCAGCCCGAGACUCAGAGCCACUGACUCGCAUCUGAAACCUCAGCACCAGAUUGAUUGAGAAGCGAGAGCUUUGGAGGUCCUGGGGCCCGUCCCCCGGGGAGCAGGUGGCAGGCGGCGAGGUGAGCCUCCCGCGCCCCCUUUGAUUCCCGCACGGUCACCGGGGGAGAGCGCGCUGGGAAUGGCUGGGCGGCAGGACGCAUUCUUUUGCCAUUUUCGCAUCCCCGCUCCCCGCCUGCAGGAACGCUCGCUGGCCAGCUCGGUCGGACUGAGGCAGCGAAUGAUAGAGGGAAUCGACAUUUGGCCGGGAUGGAAGCGUUCUUGGCUAUAUUCCAGCCCUAAUGGUGUCACAAUGCAAAAAUUUUUCUUCCGUCAUCUCAUUUUACCAAAAGGAUGAUUUCUGUAUAUGUCUGUGUUUUAUGGAGACUGUGUCUAGCUAGAGGAUCUGAGAUCAGCAUAAGAAGGAUGAAUAUCCUAAAUUACACCCACUACAAAUACAACCAAACAGUGUAACAUAGAGAACAUACUUUUCAUAUAAGACCUCAAUGUGUUGCCUAAACCUCUUUGCCUAAUUUGCUAUUCAAAAAAUGUAAUUGUUUGAUGAUGUAGAUUACAAAAACAUAUGAUCAGAUUAAAAUUUUAUAUCAAAUAAAUGGGAGGUUGCUGUUCUUUAAAAUACUUGGAGAGGAAAAAAUAAGAUACAGGGUAAAAAAAUAAUUUUGUGUCCUAUUGUUUCUUAGAUUUAAAACAGUUUAUAAUACUGAACAUUUAUUAGAUACCUAGAGGCCUGAUGCAUGAAAUUCGUGCAAGGACCUUGACCCUGGCCCCCGCCUGCCACCGCUGCCACUGGGGACCUCUGCCAUGGCCCCUGCUCGCUGUGGCUUUUUCCAAAAGAAAGGAAGUCCGCAAGGACAUGUGGUCUAAUUAGCAUAUUACCCUUUUAUUAUUAUAGAUUUAAGUAUGUGAGUAUCAGAUGGUUCCAUUUGAUGGACUUCAAAAAGGAGCCAUGGGCUUUAUAUCCCCUGGCUGGCUCUUACCGUAGGUAUAAAUUUGGUUGGUACUUAGAACUUUCUCAGAAAUUACACAGUUUAAUUUUACAUGGAACAGAUCUUCUGGAUUACCUCAGUGCACAUCUGCGGUUGGUAUUUUAGCACACUUUGCAUUACCCUGGUUCCUUGUUCUUUUA